rnacentral:rRNA from 1 species
GCAAUGGGCAAGGCGCCUGAUCCAGCCAGAUAGUAAGAGUGUGAUUAACACUCCACUCAAAAGAAAAAACAAAACAAUGAUAGAAGUUUUCAUUAUAUCCUGACUAAUUUCGUGCCAGCAGUCGCGGCAAUACGUGAAGGAUAAGCGUAAUUCAUCAUCACUAGGUAUCAAGCGUCUGUAGGCGGCGUAUCGAAUGUAAGCUAGAGUCUGACUAGGAAAUUGGAAUUUAAUAAGUAAGGAUAAAAUCUUUUGAUUUAUUAAAGAAUUUUAUGCGAAGGCAUAUUUCUCUGAACGACUGACGCUAAGAGACUAAAGUGUGGGUAGCGAAAAGGAU